UUUUUCAGAAUACUAUCAGGAAAUGUUUUUCUUGGCAAUGACAGCUAUUUCUUCAAUGCUAAUGAUGGCUAGUGCAUUCACGAGACGUCCACUGCUGUUCAUACCAAUUUGGAUAGUUGGUUUUGUUUAUCUUGGUUAUAUGUAUUAUAUAAAAAUAUCUCAGUUCCAUGAAAACUAUUAUAAACUAAUUGCUGACUUACUGGUUUAUGGUGGUCUGGUCUUUGCCAUAUUGAAUCCAACUGUUGG